UUCCGGUUGAUCCUGCCAGAGGCUACUGCUAUCGGGGUCCGACUAAGCCAUGCGAGUUGAGAGGGGUAAGCCCUCGGCAUAUUGCUCAGUAACACGCGGAUAACCUGCCCUUGGGUUUGGGAUAACCCCGGGAAACUGGGACUAAUACCGGAUAGAUCAAAGAAACUGGAAUGUUCUCUGAUCGAAAGCUCCGGCGCCCAAGGAUGGGUCUGCGGCCUAUCAGGUAGUAGUGGGUGUAACGUACCUACUAGCCUACGACGGGUAAGGGUUGUGAGAGCAAGAGCCCUGAGAUGGAUUCUGAGACAUGAAUCCAGGCCCUACGGGGUGCAGCAGGCGCGAAAACUUUACACUGCGGGAAACCGCGAUAAGGGGACCCCGAGUGCCAGCACCUAGUGCUGGCUGUCCAGCUGUUCAAAUAACAGUUGUUAGCAAGGGCCGGGCAAGACCGGUGCCAGCCGCCGCGGUAACACCGGCGGCCCGAGUGGUAGCCGUUAUUAUUGGGUUUAAAGGGUCCGUAGCCGGCCUAUUAAGUCUCUUGGGAAAUCUGGCGACUCAAUCGUCAGGCGUUCAAGAGAUGCUGGUAGGCUUGGGACCGGGAGAGGUGGGAGGUACUCCAGGGGUAGGGGUGAAAUCUCGUAAUCCUUGGGGGACCACCGAUGGCGAAGGCAUCCCACCAGAACGGGUCCGACGGUGAGGGACGAAAGCUGGGGGCACGAACCGGAUUAGAUACCCGGGUAGUCCCAGCCGUAAACGAUGCUCGCUAGGUGUCAGGUGCGGUGCGACCGCAUCUGGUGCCGCAGUGAAAACUUGAAGCGAGUCACCUGGGAAGUACGGUCGCAAGGCUGAAACUUAAAGGAAUUGGCGGGGGAGCACUACAACGGGUGGAGCCUGCGGUUCAAUUGGAUUCAACGCCGGG
rnacentral:rRNA from 1 species